UACGUAGGGUGCGAGCGUUGUCCGGAAUUAUUGGGCGUAAAGAGCUCGUAGGCGGCCUGUCGCGUCGGAUGUGAAAGCCCGGGGCUUAACCCCGGGUCUGCAUUCGAUACGGGCAGGCUAGAGUUCGGUAGGGGAGAUCGGAAUUCCUGGUGUAGCGGUGAAAUGACGCAGAUAUCGGGAGGAACACCGGUGGCGAAGGCGGUUCUCUGGGCCUUACCUGACGCUGAGGAGCGAAAGCGUGGGGAGCGAACAGG
rnacentral:rRNA from 1 species